GUGUAUAAUUUAUUGCUUUAAAAUUUCUUUCUGAAGGUUUCAGUGUUGACUGGUGGGCUCUUGGAGUGCUCAUGUUUGAGAUGAUGGCAGGAAGGUCUCCAUUUGAUAUUGUUGGGAGCUCCGAUAACCCUGACCAGAACACAGAGGAUUAUCUCUUCCAAGUUAUUUUGGAAAAACAAAUUCGCAUACCACGUUCUCUGUCUGUAAAAGCUGCAAGUGUUCUGAAGAGUUUUCUUAAUAAGGACCCUAAGGAACGGUUGGGUUGUC
rnacentral:sRNA from 1 species